rnacentral:rRNA from 1 species
CUGGCGGCGAGUGGCGAACGGGUGAGUAAUACAUCGGAACGUGUCCUGUAGUGGGGGAUAGCCCGGCGAAAGCCGGAUUAAUACCGCAUACGCUCUACGGAGGAAAGGGGGGGAUCUUAGGACCUCUCGCUACAGGGGCGGCCGAUGGCGGAUUAGCUAGUUGGUGGGGUAAAGGCCUACCAAGGCGACGAUCCGUAGCUGGUCUGAGAGGACGACCAGCCACACUGGGACUGAGACACGGCCCAGACUCCUACGGGAGGCAGCAGUGGGGAAUUUUGGACAAUGGGGGCAACCCUGAUCCAGCAAUGCCGCGUGUGUGAAGAAGGCCUUCGGGUUGUAAAGCACUUUUGUCCGGAAAGAAAUCAUCCUGGUUAAUACCUGGGGUGGAUGACGGUACCGGAAGAAUAAGCACCGGCUAACUACGUGCCAGCAGCCGCGGUAAUACGUAGGGUGCAAGCGUUAAUCGGAAUUACUGGGCGUAAAGCGUGCGCAGGCGGUUCGCUAAGACAGAUGUGAAAUCCCCGGGCUUAACCUGGGAACUGCAUUUGUGACUGGCGGGCUAGAGUAUGGCAGAGGGGGGUAGAAUUC